GGGCCCGCACAAGCGGUGGAGUAUGUGGUUUAAUUCGAUGCAACGCGAAGAACCUUACCAGGGUUUGACAUCCUGCGAAUCUCUGAAUGACAGGAGAGUGCCUUCGGGAACGCAGUGACAGGUGGUGCAUGGCUGUCGUCAGCUCGUGUCGUGAGAUGUUGGUUAAGUCCCGCAACGAGCGCAACCCACGUCUUUAGUUGCCAGCAUUUAGUUGGGCACUCUAGAGAGACUGCCGGUGAUAAACCGGAGGAAGGUGUGGAUGACGUCAAGUCAUCAUGCCCCUUACAUCCUGGGCUACACACGUACUACAAUGCUACGGACAAAGGGCAGCAAGUUCGCGAGGACAAG
rnacentral:rRNA from 1 species